rnacentral:rRNA from 1 species
UUAAGCGACUAAGCGUACACGGUGGAUGCCCUGGCAGUCAGAGGCGAUGAAGGGCGUGCUAAUCUGCGAUAAGCGCCGGUAAGGUGAUAUGAACCGUUAUAACCGGCGAUACCCGAAUGGGGAAACCCAGUGUGACUCGUCACACUAUCAUUAACUGAAUCCAUAGGUUAAUGAGGCGAACCGGGGGAACUGAAACAUCUAAGUACCCCGAGGAAAAGAAAUCAACCGAGAUUCCCCCAGUAGCGGCGAGCGAACGGGGAGGAGCCCAGAGCCUGAAUCAGCAUGUGUGUUAGUGGAAGCGUCUGGAAAGGCGCGCGAUACAGGGUGACAGCCCCGUACACAAAAGCGCAUGUGCUGUGAGCUCGAUGAGUAGGGCGGGACACGUGGUAUCCUGUCUGAAUAUGGGGGGACCAUCCUCCAAGGCUAAAUACUCCUGACUGACCGAUAGUGAACCAGUACCGUGAGGGAAAGGCGAAAAGAACCCCGGCGAGGGGAGUGAAAAAGAACCUGAAACCGUGUACGUACAAGCAGUGGGAGCCCCACCACCAAAGCAUUUGCUGUACCGCGUUGACGGAGCGAAGCGACGUCAAACCGAUAAAACAGCAGUGUAAAGUGAGCCGCAGGGCGCUUUGCGCGACAGCGCAAAGGCAGGCGGUUUCGCGUAGCGAAAGCGAAUGCUUUGGGGUGGGGUGACUGCGUACCUUUUGUAUAAUGGGUCAGCGACUUAUAUUCUGUAGCAAGGUUAACCGAAUAGGGGAGCCGGAGGGAAACCGAGUCUUAAUUGGGCGUUAAGUUGCAGGGUAUAGACCCGAAACCCGGUGAUCUAGCCAUGGGCAGGUUGAAGGUUGGGUAACACUAACUGGAGGACCGAACCGACUAAUGUUGAAAAAUUAGCGGAUGACCUGUGGCUGGGGGUGAAAGGCCAAUCAAACCGGGAGAUAGCUGGUUCUCCCCGAAAGCUAUUUAGGUAGCGCCUCGUGAAUUCAUCUCCGGGGGUAGAGCACUGUUUCGGCUAGGGGGCCAUCCCGGCUUACCAACCCGAUGCAAACUGCGAAUACCGGAGAAUGUUAUCACGGGAGACACACGGCGGGUGCUAACGUCCGUCGUGAAGAGGGAAACAACCCAGACCGCCAGCUAAGGUCCCAAAGUCAUGGUUAAGUGGGAAACGAUGUGGGAAGGCCCAGACAGCCAGGAUGUUGGCUUAGAAGCAGCCAUCAUUUAAAGAAAGCGUAAUAGCUCACUGGUCGAGUCGGCCUGCGCGGAAGAUGUAACGGGGCUAAACCAUGCACCGAAGCUGCGGCAGCGACACUGUGUGUUGUUGGGUAGGGGAGCGUUCUGUAAGCCUGCGAAGGUGGCCUGUGAGGGUUGCUGGAGGUAUCAGAAGUGCGAAUGCUGACAUAAGUAACGAUAAAGCGGGUGAAAAGCCCGCUCGCCGGAAGACCAAGGGUUCCUGUCCAACGUUAAUCGGGGCAGGGUGAGUCGACCCCUAAGGCGAGGCCGAAAGGCGUAGUCGAUGGGAAACGGGUUAAUAUUCCCGUACUUGGUGUUACUGCGAAGGGGGGACGGAGAAGGCUAUGUUGGCCGGGCGACGGUUGUCCCGGUUUAAGCGUGUAGGUGUGUGUUCCAGGUAAAUCCGGUUCACUUUAACACUGAGGCGUGACGACGAGGCACUACGGUGCUGAAGCAACAAAUGCCCUGCUUCCAGGAAAAGCCUCUAAGCAUCAGGUAACAUCAAAUCGUACCCCAAACCGACACAGGUGGUCAGGUAGAGAAUACCAAGGCGCUUGAGAGAACUCGGGUGAAGGAACUAGGCAAAAUGGUGCCGUAACUUCGGGAGAAGGCACGCUGACACGUAGGUGAAGUGAUUUACUCAUGGAGCUGAAGUCAGUCGAAGAUACCAGCUGGCUGCAACUGUUUAUUAAAAACACAGCACUGUGCAAACACGAAAGUGGACGUAUACGGUGUGACGCCUGCCCGGUGCCGGAAGGUUAAUUGAUGGGGUCAGCGCAAGCGAAGCUCCUGAUCGAAGCCCCGGUAAACGGCGGCCGUAACUAUAACGGUCCUAAGGUAGCGAAAUUCCUUGUCGGGUAAGUUCCGACCUGCACGAAUGGCGUAAUGAUGGCCAGGCUGUCUCCACCCGAGACUCAGUGAAAUUGAACUCGCUGUGAAGAUGCAGUGUACCCGCGGCAAGACGGAAAGACCCCGUGAACCUUUACUAUAGCUUGACACUGAACAUUGAGCCUUGAUGUGUAGGAUAGGUGGGAGGCUUUGAAGUGUGGACGCCAGUCUGCAUGGAGCCGACCUUGAAAUACCACCCUUUAAUGUUUGAUGUUCUAACGUGGACCCGUUACCCGGGUUGCGGACAGUGUCUGGUGGGUAGUUUGACUGGGGCGGUCUCCUCCUAAAGAGUAACGGAGGAGCACGAAGGUUGGCUAAUCCUGGUCGGACAUCAGGAGGUUAGUGCAAUGGCAUAAGCCAGCUUGACUGCGAGCGUGACGGCGCGAGCAGGUGCGAAAGCAGGUCAUAGUGAUCCGGUGGUUCUGAAUGGAAGGGCCAUCGCUCAACGGAUAAAAGGUACUCCGGGGAUAACAGGCUGAUACCGCCCAAGAGUUCAUAUCGACGGCGGUGUUUGGCACCUCGAUGUCGGCUCAUCACAUCCUGGGGCUGAAGUAGGUCCCAAGGGUAUGGCUGUUCGCCAUUUAAAGUGGUACGCGAGCUGGGUUUAGAACGUCGUGAGACAGUUCGGUCCCUAUCUGCCGUGGGCGCUGGAGAACUGAGGGGGGCUGCUCCUAGUACGAGAGGACCGGAGUGGACGCAUCACUGGUGUUCGGGUUGUCAUGCCAAUGGCACUGCCCGGUAGCUAAAUGCGGAAGAGAUAAGUGCUGAAAGCAUCUAAGCACGAAACUUGCCCCGAGAUGAGUUCUCCCUGAGACUUAGAGUCUCCUGAAGGAACGUUGAAGACGACGACGUUGAUAGGCCGGGUGUGUAAGCGCAGCGAUGCGUUGAGCUAACCGGUACUAAUGAACCGUGAGGCUUAACCUU